CAAUAGCGUAUAUUAAAGUUGUUGCGGUUAAAGCUCGUAGUUGGAUUUCUGCCGAGGACGACCGGUCCGCCCACUGGGUGAGUAUCUGGGACGACCUGGGCAUCCUUCCAGAGAAUGUGUCUGCUCUUGACUGAGUGGUGCAGUAUCUGGAACUUUUAUUUUGAGGAAAUAGAGUGUUUUCAAGCGGCAUACGCCUUGAAUACAUUAGCAUGGAAUAAUAAGAUAGGACCUCGGUUCUAUUUUGUUGGUUUCUAGAGCUGAGGUAAUGAUUAAUAGGGAUAGUUGGGGCGAUCCAUAUUUAACUGUCAGAGGUGAAAUUCUUGGAUUUGUUAAAGAUGAACUACUGCGAAAGCAUUUGCCAAGGAUGUUUUCAUUGAUCAAGAACGAAAGUUAGGG
rnacentral:rRNA from 1 species